UACGAGGGGGGCGAGCGUUGUUCGGAAUUAUUGGGCGUAAAGGGUGCGUAGGCGGUUCCGCAAGUCCUGUGUGAAAUCUUCGGGCUCAACUCGAAGUCUGCACGGGAAACUGCGGGGCUUGAGUGUGGGAGAGGUGAGUGGAAUUCCCGGUGUAGCGGUGAAAUGCGUAGAUAUUGCUCGGAAGGCCAACGGCGAAGGCAGGUUACUGGUGCGCAACUGACACUGAGGCACGAAAGCGUGGGGAGCAAACAGG
rnacentral:rRNA from 1 species